rfam:Gorilla gorilla gorilla genomic chromosome, chr13, whole genome shotgun sequence
GCUGGGCGUGGUGACACGCGCCUGUAAUCCCAGCUACUCAGGAGGCUGAGGCAGGAGAAUCGUUUGAACCCAGGAGGUGGAGGUUGCAGUGAGCCGAGAGCAUGUCACUGCACUCCAGCCUGGGUGACAGAGCGAGACUCCGUCUCAA